rnacentral:rRNA from 1 species
CGGGAAUCUUGGGCAAUGGGCGGAAGCCUGACCCAGCGACGCCGCGUGAGGGAAGAAGGCCUUCGGGUCGUAAACCUCUGUCAUGGGGGACGAAGGAAGUGACGGUACCCCAAGAGGAAGCCCCUGCUAACUACGUGCCAGCAGCCGCGGUAAUACGUAGGGGGCGAGCGUUGUCCGGAGUUAUUGGGCGUAAAGGGCGUGUAGGCGGCCUGUUAAGUCAGGUGUGAAAUUUCAGGGCUUAACCCUGAAACUGCGUUUGAAACUGGCAGGCUUGAGGACAGGAGAGGGAAGUGGAAUUCCCGGUGUAGCGGUGGAAUGCGUAGAUAUCGGGAGGAACACCAGUGGCGAAGGCGGCUUCCUGGACUGUACCUGACGCUGAGGCGCGAAAGCUAGGGGAGCAAAC